UGGUCCGGUUUCCCGUAGUAGGAAGGACCGAAAGAGUAAUAUUUUGUGGAAAAAACGGUUUUAUCAAAAACCCUGAACUCUUCUUCAGAAAAUUUCAAUCUCAAAGCCUAUAAAUCAAAAACCCCGGAAAUUGACAAGUUGGAAAUCUAAUUUUCUCCUUCUCACUGAAACCCUAGAAAUUUUUGUUUCAACCCGUGGAUCGAAACUAUUUAAAGGGUCAUGCUGGAUUGUUGAAUCUCUGUAUUGUUGUGCUGGUCGCGGUCAAAAGCAGACUCAUCAUUGAAAAUUUAAUGAAGUAAGGCUUACUAAUUGGAUCUGGAUUUUGGUUCAGCUCUACAUCACUGGGAGACUGGCCACUUUUCUUGUCUGCUGCUUAUAUGGUUGAAAAGCUAGCUCAAAGUAAGCUUUUUUCCGAACCAGAGAACAUCGUUGCAGCUCUAGAUUGCAUUAAACAUUUGUACAUAUUAGCUACACUUGGAGAUUGGAUAUGUAUAUGGCCUGAUUGCCCUGAAGAAUUGAGCAUUUUGAUUCAGUAUUAGGUUCAAAAACAUAGUAGUUAUGUUUGC